CACUUGUUGAGAGCUGGCGCUGCUAUCCUGAUGAGUCCAAGGCAGGACGAAACCAUUU
rnacentral:sRNA from 1 species